UACUCUUGACAUCCAGAGAAGCCAGCGGAGACGCAGGUGUGCCUUCGGGAACUCUGAGACAGGUGCUGCAUGGCUGUCGUCAGCUCGUGUUGUGAAAUGUUGGGUUAAGUCCCGCAACGAGCGCAACCCUUAUCCUUGUUUGCCAGCGAGUAAUGUCGGGAACUCCAGGGAGACUGCCGGUGAUAAACCGGAGGAAGGUGGGGACGACGUCAAGUCAUCAUGGCCCUUACGAGUAGGGCUACACACGUGCUACAAUGGCGCAUACAGAGGGCAGCAAGCUAGCGAUAGUGAGCGAAUCCCAAAAAGUGCGUCGUAGUCCGGAUUGGAGUCUGCAACUCGACUCCAUGAAGUCGGAAUCGCUAGUAAUCG
rnacentral:rRNA from 1 species